rnacentral:rRNA from 1 species
UACGUAGGGUCCGAGCGUUGUCCGGAAUUAUUGGGCGUAAAGAGCUCGUAGGCGGUCCGUUAAGUCGGAAGUGAAAUCUCAAGGCUCAACCUUGAAAUCGCUUUCGAUACUGGCGGACUUGAGGCAGGUAGGGGAAGGUGGAAUUCCUGGUGUAGCGGUGGAAUGCGCAGAUAUCAGGAGGAACACCGGUGGCGAAGGCGGGUCUCUGGGCAGUAACUGACGCUGAGGAGCGAAAGCGUGGGGAGCGAACAGG